CCACUGUAUUAGGAUGUGAUAUUGAGCAAUUGCUAAUUUCAUCUGUUCUAACAACAUGAGGUGAAAUGUUUGAACUGCUGAGUUUACCAAAAGCCCAAAUAAUCCUUAUCUAUACAGGACAUCACUGACACCAAGCAGCACAGGAGAAAAACUUCACAGGUGGAUGAUCAAUAUUUCCCAAUAACUGAGACUCCAGGCAAGACUUCCUAUUCACAUUUUAAAAGUUCCCUUGUGAAGAAACUGGCAUCUUCUCCAGUUGCUAGUAGCCCAAUUUCCACAAGGUGGCAGCAGUCACGCAGCAGAAACCAAGCGGAGCAAAGUUUUGCAGAGAGUCCUGCUACCUCAGAUGAUGGGCCUGAUCUGAUGAAAAUCAUGAUAGUUCCAAGUCAGUGUACAGAGAUGGGUGAUUCCCUCAAAGUAAAGGGGUUAUUCUAGUCAUUACUCCAUAACUCCAGAUUAAUAAAUGCAAAAAACUUGAAAAUGAUAUACAGGUGGUAUUUUAACACCUAAUAAACCUAAUAAACACCUAAUAAACUAGCCAAGAUGUAGAAGACUAUAUCAAGUAAAUGCUGGAAAGGCAAACAGUCUGAAGGAUCAUUUAUUUCAUAUGUGGUGGACUUGUAGAAAAGCAACAGGCUUUUGGGAAAUGAUACAUAAUGAAUAGAAGAAUAAGUUUAAAAUUGUGAUCCCCAAAAGUCUGACACAUUUCUUUUGGGAAUAAUA